GGAGGAUUCGCCUAGUGGCCUAGGGCGCCGCACUGCUAAUGCGGUUAGGGGGCAACUCCUUCGAGGGUUCGAAUCCCUCAUCCUCCG
rnacentral:tRNA from 2 species